rnacentral:tRNA from 1 species
AAAAGAUUAGUAUAAUAUAGUACAUUUGAUUUCGAAUCAUGAAGUGUCGAGGAGAUGUCUUUUU